AUAAAUAAUUUUGAAGAGGGGAUACACGUGAGUUUCUUUCGCAUAACACAAACGACAAAAUUAUAAAAAUAUUCUAAUGUUUUUUUUUUUUUUUGCUGUCACUACAUUCGCUUUUCUCUUUCGUCUCAUGUGUAUGUGGCAUGUGUGGCGACAUUAAAAACUAAGCAAUUAAAAUAAAAUACAACUAAAACAAAAUGUUUUUUCUUUCUCGAAAGUAAUGCCUCAAUUUGAUCCCCUCUCCAAAUUAUUUUCAAACAAUUUCCAAAGUGUUUCACCGGCGCACAAAAGUUAGAAAUUGUAUUAAUCACAACACAUUACAUUAAAACGCCUAUGCAAUGCCAUCCAUAAAUGAACUAAAGAGAUGUUCAAGUGGUCACGACCCUCUGUUUCAAAUGACGUUUUCGAAUAAAUUUCAUAUUAGUUAAACGAUUAACGAGAUCGGAUGGACAGCUUUUCUUAAAAAGGUACACCCCUUUUUCCCAGCUCAUGGCUAUAUAAAUAUGAAUCACUUUUAACUAGUAGUCAACGUCAUUACACCACCCGAUUUUGCAUGUUUAAUUGGACCAUUAACAAUUGAUUGUAUCUAGUGGCUAAAUAUAGUAGUAUUUUUAUGGCGAUCCACGGCUUGACUCGGUAACUUUUCUAAAAAAUCUGUUAGAAGUGCGCUGGGAAAAUUCCGCAAAGCCACAACGAUCCAAUGACGUGCGCUGGUCGUGUGCC